rnacentral:tRNA from 1 species
UAGCUCAGGUGGUAGAGCGGCUCAUUCGUAAUGAGUAGGUCAGUGGUUCGAAUCCACUG